UACGUAGGGUGCAAGCGUUAAUCGGAAUUACUGGGCGUAAAGCGUGCGCAGGCGGUUAUGCAAGACAGAUGUGAAAUCCCCGGGCUUAACCUGGGAACCGCAUUUGUGACUGCAUAGCUAGAGUGCGGCAGAGGGGGAUGGAAUUCCGCGUGUAGCAGUGAAAUGCGUAGAUAUGCGGAGGAACACCGAUGGCGAAGGCAAUCCCCUGGGCCUGCACUGACGCUCAUGCACGAAAGCGUGGGGAGCGAACAGG
rnacentral:rRNA from 1 species